rnacentral:misc_RNA from 4 species
AACGCACCUUGCGCCCUUUGGUAUUCCGAAGGGCAUGCCUGUUUGAGUGUCAUUAAAUUCUCAACCUUGAACCAGUUUUGCGACUGGGUCAAGGCUUGGAUGUGAGGGCUUUGCUGGCUUCCUUCAGUGGAUGGUCUGCUCCCUUUAAAUGCAUUAGUGGGAUCCUUUGUGGACGGUCACUUGGUGUGAUAAUUAUCUACGCCGCGUUGACUGUGAAGCAAAACUUAUGGGACCCUGCUUAUAACCGUCCUUCGGGACAAUUUAUUGACCAUUUGACCUCAAAUCAGGUAGGACUACCCGCUGAACUUAA